AUUCCUAAACCCCGGGUCUGUGUUCGGCCUGGUUGGGGCAUAACAGUUUCUGGAGCAAGCCAGGCCAGAGCAUGAAAGGAGGUGUGCCCCAAAUAUCUACCUGAUAGACAGCUCCAGCCACCAGGGCAUGAGCUCUGUACCCCUCCUCUCCUACUGGGUGCAAGGGUGAACUUCAUUUGUUCCCAGAAGAAGUAGCUGGACAUAGAAGCCUGUCACAUCAUCAUGGGCGAUGACGAGGCAUCCAUCCUGCUUCAAGUCCACAUGAGAAAAGGUCCACAACCAAGAAGGAGAGGAGCAAAAUUCCCCUGAAGAGGAGGUUAGGAGCGAAUGGUGCAUGUGUACCCCGAGAAGACGACCCUAUCUUCCUCAUGGGUUCCAGCUUGCUCCAAGCUGCAGCAGGAACCCACACUGAACUAGGAGGAGUUAGUGAGAACUCAUUUGCUUGACUAGCACAUCUUCCUCUAUGGGGUCCAGAUGAUGAGAUAAUGAGACAGCCCAGACAGAAGACCCUGGUCUGAGAAGAAGGUGUGCUGAGCCUGCCAUUGCUUGGACUCCCCUCAUCUUCAUUUUUCCAUCUCAAUGUACAGGUUCCUUUUCUCAGACUACAUUGACAGAAACACCCUCCUCCUCUGUGCCUCUUGGAUCAACAGCCAGACUCACCUGCGCCCUGAGGAGUGUAAACGGCAUUGGCAAUAACAUUUACUUGUCCAGCAGAUGGAGGGGAGA